GGAGAGAUGGCCGAGUGGUUUAAGGCGCACGCUUGGAAAGUGUGUGUACCCUCACAGGUACCCAGGGUUCGAAUCCCUGUCUCUCCGCCA
rnacentral:tRNA from 1 species